rnacentral:rRNA from 1 species
AUUGAACGCUGGCGGCAGGCCUAACACAUGCAAGUCGAGCGGAUGAAGGGAGCUUGCUCCUGGAUUCAGCGGCGGACGGGUGAGUAAUGCCUAGGAAUCUGCCUGGUAGUGGGGGAUAACGUCCGGAAACGGGCGCUAAUACCGCAUACGUCCUGAGUGAGAAAGUUGGGGAUCUUCUGACCUCACGCUAUCAUAUGAGCCUAGGUCGGAUUAGCUAGUUGGUGGGGUAAAGGCCUACCAAGGCGACGAUCCGUAACUGGUCUGAGAGGAUGAUCAGUCACACUGGAACUGAGACACGGUCCAGACUCCUACGGGAGGCAGCAGUGGGGAAUAUUGGACAAAGGGCGAAAGCCUGAUCCAGCAAUGCCGCGUGUGUGAAGAAGGUCUUCGGAUUGUAAAGCACUUUAAGUUGGGAGGAAGGGCAGUAAGUUAAUACCUUGCUGUUUUGACGUUACCAACAGAAUAAGCACCGGCUAACUUCGUG